GAUGAACGCUGGCGGCGUGCCUAACACAUGCAAGUCGAGCGGACGAACGAGACUCUUUCCUCGCUUCUGUUACCGGCGGGCGGGUGAGUAACACGUGUAUAACCUACCUAUAAGACUGAGAUAACUUCACGAAACCGGAUCUCGCAUCGGACAAUAGUUUGAAACUCAUGGUUCAACAGAGAUAGACGUACCUGCUGAGCCUUAUACAUGUAUCCUCGCUGGAUUAGCUAGUUGGUAAGGUAACGGCUUACCAAGGCAACGAUGCAUAGCCGACCUGAGAGGGUGAUCAGCCACACUGGAACUGAGACACGGUCCAGACUCCUACGGGAGGCAGCAGUAGGGAAUCUUCGACAAUGGGCGAAAGCCUGACGCAGCAACGCCGCGUGAGUGAUGAAGGUCUUCGGAUCGUAAAGCUCUGUUAGUAGGGAGGAAGAGAUGUGUGAGUAACUGUGCACAUCUUGACGGUACCUACAGAGAAAGCCACGGCUAACUACGUG
rnacentral:rRNA from 1 species